UGUACCAUAUUCCCUGAUAAAGCAGUGCCAGAAAAGCUCUUGGGGAUCAAGUUUUUGUCAGUCCCCAGCUUUUACCAAUUUAAAUUCUUGGCAGCAUAUUAAAAAAAAUGUAUAAGGUAUUUGAGACUGCAAUCCCUCAGGUACUAAAUCUAGUGUUUCCUGGCAAUAGAUGAAUGUUCCUGGAGUUAAAAUCUAGCACCAGAGCACCAGAUCUCCAUAGCUGUUCAUAUUUAUACUUAACAGAUAAAUAUGUCAUUCUUUCAAUAUUCCUUUACACAGCCAAUUUUUUCUCACAUACUGUAUUUUUUUCUGAUAAAAACAGAGGUUAGAAAGUUCUUACCAGUGACUGACAUCUUCCUGUUUUGUUUGCUUUUCAAGUUGCUGGGAUGCAUCUUUUCUACUUGGAGAUUCCCUGAUAUACAGUGCAGUUUGAUUACAGAAGACCAGAGGGGGAAAGAGAAGUCAUUAUCCACUUGAAAAGCUGGAGGAAGCCUUGACUUUUCCACUUAACCUUCUCCUCUUUGCAAUGGUGCCAGAGUGAGUUGCAUCACUGGUCAGAGAUACUAAAUUAAAUAUGCUGGAGGUGAAGUGCCUUUCUCUACCAUUGCCAAGAAAAUGGACCUCUGUCCUCUAUAGGGAAAGCCCAGCCCAUGGUUAAUUUGUGACCUAAGAUGUGUCAUGGGAGCUGGUGGCCAGGGCUGCCUGAAAACUGUGCAUCUGAAACAAGAGAGUCAAAAUGAUUCAUUUUGACUUUUUCCCAUUAAAAAUGUCACUGAAAUCAAUAGUUCCUACAAAACAUUUUGAUUUUGACAAAACUGCAUUUUUGCUGGAAAUCUGUGCUGCCGAAAAUGUUUCGACCAGCUCUAGUCACAACACAGCAGCUAUAAAAGUCUGUCUAUGACCAACCUUCAACAUGUAAAUCUGUACUUCCUCCUAACUGAUCCUGUCUUUUGUUUUGAGUUCUUUGCUAAUAAGUAAUGAAAACCUUACAGCCUUACAGCUUGUUUUGUGGUUGCAAUUACGUAAGCAUUAUUAAUAAAGAAACAAUGUCAAAACUGUGUGAAACCAAACACACAUUUAACCACUUGCAAUAAACAGAUAUAAAACAA